AACGAACGCUGGCGGCAGGCUUAACACAUGCCAGUCGAACGCCCCGCAAGGGGAGUGGCAGCCGGGUGAGUAACGCGUGGGGACAUACCCUUUUCUACGGAAUAGCUCUGGGAAACUGGGAUUAAUACCGUAUACGCCCUACGGGGGAAAGAUUUAUCGGGGAAGGGUGGGCCCGCGUGGGAUUGGCGAGGUGGUGGGGUAAAGGCCUACCAAGGCGACGAGCCAUAGCUGGUCUGAGAGGAUGAUCAGCCACAUUGGGACUGAGACACGGCCCAAACUCCUACGAGAGGCAGCAGUGGGGAAUAUUGGACAAUGGGCGCAAGCCUGAUCCAGCCAUGCCGCGUGAGUGAUGAAGGCCUUAGGGUUGUAAAGCUCUUUCACCGAUGAAGAUAAUGACGGUAGUCGGAGAAGAAGCCCCGGCUAACUUCGUG
rnacentral:rRNA from 1 species